AAAAAGGCAAACCAUGGGUUCCCGUGCCAACGUUUGACUGUCCGUCUUAUAUGAAAUUUUUUUAUAAUUAAUAUUUUUAUUGUUGUUAGAUGAUAAAACAUGAUUAAUACUUUAUGCGUGACUUAUAUUUUUAAUUUUUUUCAUAAUUUUUUCAAAUAAGACGGACGGUCAAACGUUAGACACGGAAACCAGGGUUUGUCUUUUU
rnacentral:pre_miRNA from 1 species